UAAUCUGACUUCCAGAGAAGUCGGGAGAGA
rnacentral:piRNA from 1 species